AUACUGCUUUGCCUGGAGUGAAAACAUUUUUGAAAGAUUCUAGUGUAAUGUUUUCCUAUGUAAAAUUUCUUGACUGCAUCACUGAUAGGCAAGUUUUUCGUCAAAGAAAUUGAAGCCAGGAGUGCGACACUGAUGUUUUUAAUUUCAUAAGAACAUAAUUCUUUAAAAUGCCAUCAAAUAUUUAUGACUUUGUAAUGAGGGAGGACUAACAGUGAUAAUAUUUGCUACCACAGAGAAGUUCAUAUUAUUUCACUGAAAAGUGCUUGAAGGAGCUGCUGAAAUUAAAGACAAAUUAAGCAUUUCAUUUACAAAAAAGUUAACAUUUGUUGGAUAUCUAUUGUACUCUGCUUGGUCCUGGCAAUGAAAAGAUGAAUGACGUGGCCUCCAGUCCAGAGCCAUCCUCUGUCUAAUGGGGAAAACAGAGUGUGACCAUAUGAAGCAGUGGAAUCAUGUGACUAGGCAGGCAACACUCCUUGACCACCAACUCUGUUUCAGGCACUGAGAUGGAUGCCAGGAGUAUACAGUCAAGCCAGACACUGUUUCUGCCCUCAGGGGACUUAAAGUCACAUUGCAGACACAGUGUCGCAAAGCAGCGCAUCCAAGCGUGAGAACUGCUGUGACCAAGGUUGAAACAAGGUGCAUGUCGCAGUGUUGAUCAGAGAAGAGACUGAUAAUCUUUGCCUGAAAGAGGGAAGUGGACCAUCUUAGAAAAGGCUUCCUCGAAGAAAUGGUGAUUGAUCUAGUUCUUAAAGAAUCAGUAAGGCUUUGCCAAGAAGAUGGUAGAAGGAAAAACAUUCUAGAGAGAAGAAUUUUCUAGCCCCUCAUAAACUAUUUUUUCUUCACAUUCUUAUUUGCCACUGCUUCACAAGUUCUUGCUUAGCUAGACAAAUUCUAUUAGAUCAAGAUUUACAAAAUGUCUCUCUUCACCAUAUCUACAGUCUGAUUUGCCUUUGGAAAGGGCACAGAUUUAGAACUACAUUCUGUACCAACACUGGGCAAUUCAAAUGUUCAUGCAAGUUGGAGGCACCAGAUUCUUUAUUUCUGUGUCCUAGAAAGUGUGGCCUCAUAGGUAGUUGCGAGUGGUGACUUGAGUUUACAGCUUCGCUGGUCCUGUAUGCUAAUCAUUGCCUUUCACCCUGCCCUUCAUCUAAGUAGAUCUUUCCCCUGACCAUACCCAUGGCGACCAAGCUUACAGACAGAAUAUUAAGAUCCUCAGCCCCAGGGGCUUGUCACAACUGACUAGACAUAAUCCAGAUCACAACAACCCAUAGCUCAGUUGAGCCCAUCAGACUCUUUUUCUGAGAUUCUGAUGAUAAGUUGCUAUGCUUUGAGCACUUGGUAGUAAAGGUCUUGGGAUAAGAUAUCUAAACUUAGCUCUGCUAGUUGGCAGAGAUAAACUACCCAUCAGUACCAAAAUGCCAGUGGUCUAAGACGGAUACCUAUGGCCAGGUAGAGGCAGCAAAGGUGGCAUGGGAAUUCCUACCCAGGAUUUACUCGGCCAGGGGCCAGAUUGCUCUACCAAAAAGUAGGAGCUGCCUUGAAUAGUUAUGUACAUUCCCACUACAAAGUUAUUCACAUGGGGGGCUGAGAAAGAUUUUCCAGUGGACCAGGUGGAGAGGGAGUUUAUUUGAAGUCACCAUGGGAAUUUCACACAGUCCAACUGCGGCUAGCACCACUAGGCUUCCUAACUGCUGGGAGGAAACCUUCAGACAAGCUACUCUCUCUCCUUUUUCCAGCACCAUUUCUCUUUGCUGCAUUUUUAUUUUCCUUUUUUCUGAUUUUUUGGGGUAAUUAGGUUUGCUUUAAAUUUUUUUGUUUUUCAAUAAUGGAAGUAUUGGGGAUUGAACCCAGGACCUUGUGCAUGCUUGGCAAGCACUCUACCACUGAGCUAUAUCUGCUUCUCUCUCUCUUUGUCUUUAUUCUCCUUAAUGCAGCCAGUUUCCUUUCAUGAGGCUCUUAGUUUCUGUUUCUGAGUAACUUCAGUUGUCUUUUUAUUGUAUUAUUUAAUUAUUUCAUUGUGGUGGGGGGAGGUAAUCAGGUUUAUUUAUUUUUAGAGGAGGUGCUGGGGAUUGAACCCAUGUGCUCUGCCACAGAGCUAUACCCUCCCCACCGAGUAAGAUCAGUUCAACAUGAGCCCCUCCCUUGCUCCGGAGCCAUUUUGGCAUGGAUCUGAUGUUCCAGCUCCAGUAGCCACUAUUGCUUACUGAGUCAAACUCUUCUGUCACUUAGUCUGAACAUCUGUGCCCAAGGGUAUACCCCUCAGACAGUUGACAUGUUCGGUACCGAUGGGUAGAGUUUUUCUCUGCCAGCUAGCAGUCUGAGAGUUUAGAUAUCUUAUUCAGGACCCUUUACUACCAAGUGGUCAAAGCAUAACAUCUUAACCGCAGCUGGCAAGAUGGUCUAGAUAGUGUAAGAUUUAAAAGGCGUGGCUGGAGUGUUUGUAAAAAUAGGCCAGUUGGCAGAAGUCCUGCUGCUGGCACAGGGAAAACAAAGGCCAGAUUCUGCCAAGGAGUCGUCAUUGUGGGCAUGUCAGCAGCAUGUUCCAUCCAAGCUGCAACUAGUGUUGUAUCCUCUCGAGAGGAUUAGGCAAGCUUGUUUUGGUGGAGAGAAAGCAAGCAGGGCAGUCCAGGUGCGGUGGUCGAGAAAGGGGGCGAGGCGCGAGGUUAAAUGGAAUCUGAUACCGAUGACAUUCAAGAAAAAAGAAAGAGGCCAUCAGCCAGGGCAUGCUUGGAGUGGGUGGUUAUUUCAGUCGACAGCAUUUACUGAAAGAGGCCUGUGGUUUCAGAGUUGCUCAGAGCCACUGAACAGCAUUCCUGCCUCUGGACUGUAGAGCCUUCUGUAGCCAAAGGGAGUCUAGGACCAGUCCAGGGGCUUCAGGGCCAUUGCCCAAGAGGGAUGAGUGUGUCGUCUUCUGCACAGACUUGGAUUUUGAGAAGUCCAUGACCUCCACAGGGGCUCUGAUGGGUCACACCCCAGUGGUGCCAUGCCAGCCUGGCACCUCGGAGAAUAUUUCAUUCUACUGAAUAUCAAGGUCACGCUCUAUCGCAUAACCUUCAUUUCGUUUCUUUAUAGUACUUAUCUCCAUCUGGAAAUCUUAUUUAUUUGAUUACUUGCUUACCUUCUAUCUCCCUGCAGUAAGAUGUAAAUUCCUUUAGAACAGAAACAUUAAUCUUUUUUUUUCCAUUGUUGUGUUCUUAACACCUAGAACAAUGUUUGGCUGUUAGUAGGUUCUCAGUCAAUAUUUAUUGAAUAAAUAAAUAAGUCCAUGAACUUGAUGACAUGGUCAAGGGCCAAGGGCCUGGACAACAUUCCAAGUCCUGGUGAGUCCCCUGACAGACCUUGACUGAAAUGAAAUGUCUGCAUUUUUAAAUAUACUUAGAAAACCUGACUGGGUGUUAACAACUGAACUGAGCUCCCGGCCCAUCCACACCCAAAUUCUGUUGUCAACUGAUUUAGCAAAUUUUCUAAGAGGAAAAAAAAUGUGACCAUGCUCUUCUGGUAAGAAGAAUAUGUAUCUACUUGUUGCCAUUAGACAAGCCUUGAGCCACAGAUGUUUUCUCCUUUUCAGCCUGCUUCUGAGAUGACUCUCCAGCCUCCUCCCCCAAUCAGCCCCCAACUUUGCCUCUUUCUUCCCCAUAAACAAACGUCUCAGUUCUCACACGUAAUCGAACCUCUCAGGGGAGUGUCAAUGAGCGUAUUUUCAGGAAACAACUGAAAUUUCUCCAUGUUCUUUGCUUUCUGAACAGCAGCCACGUGGCUCAGUAAGUGUACAGCACGUGUUUACUUUAACAAAGAGCCUCCGGCUGAGUCAGCCUCCCUUCCUCCCGACUUCCUUUUCCAUUCUUAAAAGAUUGUUCGAAUGAGUCCAAACUUGGCCCAGCUCUUCUCGACAUGUAGUGGGGCAACAGUUAUUAGCGCAAACACUGCCUCUCUGGAAAUACGCAUUUCUUUAGAGAGUGUAAUCAAAAUGAAAACAGCAUUCUAUUAACAAAAGCAAGCCUGGAGUUUCUAAGAGGAUAUGGUGACUUUACACACAAUCUCUUUCUUUCAAAGCCGCAAGUUAGAGUGAAUUUUGUUAAGGGAUGGAAUGAAAUAAUCAGUGCUAAAAUUCCAGUAAUGAAAUUUUCAUUAGCGGCCAAGUCGAUCAACAGAUAUUUACUGAACACCUUCUACACAAAAUGAUCGGAGUUGGGCAAUCAAGGAACAUACACGUGUUCCAGGCUGGGAAGCUCUAUUUGGGAAGAUGGGCUGUUACCUCACAGGCGUCCCAAACUUAACACGAUCAGAACUGAACCACUCACGUCCCUACUAGGGCCCUUCUUAGUGUUCCUUAUUUUAGUAAGUGGUUCGCAAUCUAGUGGAAGAAAUAGAUAAAAGUCAAAAUGAAACAGUAAUUGUGCAUUAAUGGGGUUAGUUAGGUCCGAGGUAUUGUGUAUGUUUAAGGAGGGGCAUUUAAUGCAGCUAAGUGCAAUGGGACAUUGAAGUCAAUAUUCUUCAUUACCAGAGAAGAAUUUCUUGCUAUCAUUUAAAAACAGAUUCAACCAUACAUACUGGGUAACUCUUUUCAAAUGUAUUUUUUCCUUCUCUUAGAUGCUGUCUGUCUUAUGGGCUGAUAGAGUUAUACCCUCAAUGACGUGGGUCAUUCUUUCUGAUGUUUCUGCCUGGGGACUGAGUGCCUUUCUGACUCAUGUAUUUUCCUUACAAAACAGAAUUGAACUGUUAUCCAAAAGGGCCAGCUGCUUUGAAUUUUUCACAAAGAUUAAAAAGUUCCCUCUUCUUCAGCUCUGGCGAUGUCAGUAAUGACUAUUGUGGUGACUGUUCUGAGGCUCAUAUCAGUUUAAUUGCUUUGAUAAACUAACUUCACUUUGCAGUCCCCUUCGAACUGAAUAAUUAAUGAUAGAACUGUUAAAACUGAGGACCCAGUUUUAGAAUUUAAUGAGCUUUAUAAUUUGUCCUCUGUUUGAAAAGACGACUUUAGCUCUAUAAUAUUGGAAGAAUAUAUUCAGGAUUUCAAUAUGGAGAAUUAUUUACAAGCCAACUAAUUGUAAAACAUAUAAUGAUAAUGUAGUCUAGGUCUAAUUUUCCAGUGUAUUGGUGUGUAUCAUAUAUAAAUCCUAUUCAAUAUGAGGUCUCUGUAGUUCAGGGCAAAAUAUUUUCCCAUCAGACAGAUGAGAAGCUUCCUGAAGCAGUUAGGCAAAAAUGAUUACUAGUCUCUUGACAAAAUUAGUUUUUAUUUUUAUGGGUCUAUUCAUGCAUACAGAUGAAAUUUUUUUAAAAAUCCUUAAUGAAUUGCUAACGAAAUACUAUUGUGUAGUACUCAGUACUCAGUAGUACUCAGUAGUACUCAGUAGUACUGUGCUUGUGACGAGCAAGAUCUUCUGCCCCCCCAAGUGUCAACCCAUCCCCUACCAUUUUCAGUAUUUUAUCUUUAUUCUUAUGAAACUGAAAAGUUUUUUGGUCUUCAAAACCUUGAUACAUAGGAAGAUUUUGACAGGCA